GUGUCAGCAGCCGCGGUAAUACGGAGGGUGCAAGCAUUGAUCGGAAUUACUGGGCGUAAAGGGCGCGUAGGCGGCUGAAAAAGUCAGAUGUGAAAUUCCGGGGCUCAACCCCGGAGCUGCAUUUGAAACUUUUCAACUAGAGUACAGUUAGGGAAAACGGAAUUCCACGUGUAGCGGUGAAAUGCGUAGAUAUGUGGAAGAACACCGGUGGUGAAGACGGUUUUCUGGGCUGUUACUGACGCUGAGGCGCGAAAGCAAGGGGAGCAAACAGGAUUAGAUACCCUGGUAGUCCUUGCCUUAAACGAUGCAUACUAGGUGUAGGAGGGCUCAACCCCCUCUGUACCGGAGCUAACGCAUUAAGUAUGCCGCCUGGGGAGUACGCUCGCAAGGGUGAA
rnacentral:rRNA from 1 species